rnacentral:rRNA from 1 species
GACGAACGCUGGCGGCGGGCUUAACACAUGCAAGUCGAACGGAAAGGCCCUGCUUUUGUGGGGUGCUCGAGUGGCGAACGGGUGAGUAACACGUGAGUAACCUGCCCUGGACUUUGGGAUAACUUCAGGAAACUGGGGCUAAUACCGGAUAGGAGCUCCUGCUGCAUGGUGGGGGUUGGAAAGUUUCGGCGGUUGGGGAUGGACUCGCGGCUUAUCAGCUUGUUGGUGGGGUAGUGGCUUACCAAGGCUUUGACGGGUAGCCGGCCUGAGAGGGUGACCGGCCACAUUGGGACUGAGAUACGGACCAGACUCCUACGGGAGGCAGCAGUGGGGAAUAUUGCACAAUGGGCGGAAGCCUGAUGCAGAAACGCCGCGUGCGGGAUGACGGCCUUCGGGUUGUAAACCGCUUUCGCCUGUGACGAAGCGUGAGUGACGGUAAUGGGUAAAGAAGCACCGGCUAACUACGUG